rnacentral:rRNA from 1 species
CUGCUCAAUGAAUAUUUAAAUUGCUGUAGUAUUUUAACUAUACAAAGGUAUUGUWAUAAGAUUUUAAUUGAAUGCUAAAAGAAUGGAAGUUUAAGAAAAAACUUUUUUAAAAAUAAAAAUUAAAUUUUUUUUAAUUUGUGCAAAACCAAUUAUUUAUAUUAAAGACAAGAAGACCCUAUGAAUUUAUGAUUAAAUAAACUAAAAAUUUUUAGUUUAUUUAAUCUUGAUUGGGGCAAUCAAAAAAUAUUAAUAACUUUUUUAAAUUUAAAUGAUCUAUUAUUAAUAAUCUAAUGGAAUAAAUACUCUAGGGAUAACAGCGUAAUAAUUUUUGAUAGAUCUUAUAGACAAAAUAGUUUGCGACCUCGAUGUUGGAUUAGGAUUCUUUUUUAAUGAAGAUGUUAAAACAAGAAGUUUGUUCAACUUUUAAAUUCCUACAUGAUCUGAGUUUAGACC